AAAGAAAAGUAAACUUUUGACGUCAUCCGCUGUCGGUCACAGCUAUCGCAACGUAGUUACCUAAUACAGAGGUUGAUGCGGGGCAUCUUAUUGUAGGCGUUGAGUUCCGUCUGUCUACUCAUUCAAAAUCUCAACGUGCCACGCUGGUGUGAUGUCAGACACCAAGAUUUUGUUUGAUAAUUUGAACUGAGAAGUGAAAAUAAUUAUUGAGAUUUUAUACAAUGGGAAAAUCGUGUGACUAUUCAUUGUAGUUUUCUAUAAAAUAACUAACAAGACAUUGCAAGAAAAAAUAUAUUGCAUUGACAACACCUCGCGACCAACAGCAAGUGACUGAUCAAUAUUGAUGACUAUAUAGGCACUGAAAUAUGUGAUAAUAUACAAUAUAUGACAUUGCGUGUUGUAGGUCAUGGGUAGAUGGUCGACCGAUGAAAAUUAUUAUGAUGUGGACCGCGUCAAACGGGUCAUGAUAAUAAUAUUAUAAUAUAUUUAUAUACGAAUUUCGUAUUAUAAUACCUAUAUACUAUUCGCAAUUAAUAAUUAACUCGCCCGGACACUUGUCGAUGUGACUCCACGACGAUGAAGCGAUCAAUUUAAUAAUAAUAUGUGAUACCUAUCAUGUCGGGAAAUAGUUUAUGCUCAAAUCGGCCGUCGGCGAACGCGACGAAAUAGCGUACAAUGAUGUAUAUAUAUGUUAUGCAUAUACCGUUUGGCGCCAAAGCCGUAUAAUAUUAUAUGGCUGUGACGUCGGAUUCUGCGAUCGCGCAUACGUAACGGACCACCGGGUGCAACAAGCGCGUACCCACAUGGGUACAGUGUGUUCUAUGAACACGCAACGGUCGCGAAAAUAAGAUGACGAAGAAGAAUGAGCGGAAUGAACAAAUAAAAAAAAAACGUUAAAAUUUGCAUAAUAUUAAUCAGAUGCGGACUGGUUGAGAGGGAUGAAAAAGAAACGGUUUUUUUUUCCGUUCCACUCCCGACUUUGCCGGUUUUUGUUCUGUCGUAACCGCGCGGCCGCAGCCUUUCACCCGCUCUCGCUCUGCAGCAUCCACAACAAAUAUCCGCACAGAUCAAUAGGAAUAAUAAAACACGAAGAUCAUACGAAAAUUAACGGCCGAGUCCGGGACGACGACACUGCAACACAUAACGUCCGUACCCCCUGAGCCCAUCUUCGUCGCAUACUUCGUCGCAGCAAUACGAUAAUAUAUCGUCAUCUCGUUUUUCAUCUCAUCACGCGGAGCGUCUAUCCGGACGGUCCGCCCCGCGUUUCCUCUCCCGCGGCACCACCCCGCACGCCGGAGCAUUAUAAUAUUAUUACAUAUUAUUAUAUAUAUAUUAUAAUAUGCAUACCUAUAUACAAAUACGCGCGACUAUUAUUAUUAUUUAUUAUCGUCUCGCUGUUAUUAUUGUUACCUGGGAAAAAAAAUCGUCGGUAAAAAGGGUUAUACGAAGUGCGCAUAUGUAUAAAUACGUAUAGGAAGAAAGGCCCCUUUGCAUAAAAUUUGAAUGGUAACUUAGUGUAGUUUUAUUAUUAUUAUUUUUUUUUUUUUUAAGCGUUAGUUUGCAUAUGUACGGGCGCGAGGGGGCCGCGGCGGAUCUACCUGUUAUUGCUGCUGCACCCCUCCUCCUCCGUCGGCGCGGCGAGACCAUGAGAAAAAAAGGGUUCAUUUGAAUUUUACUUUCCGGAGGAUGAGACCGGAGGGCUUUGGAUUUCGUAAAAACGAAGGGGGCGCGAUUGUGUGUUAUUUAAAAUAGGUGUCUUCUCGCCGAUGACGGCGGCGGCGGUGGUGGCGGGGUACAACCUACCGAUUCUACACCGCCGUACAUAUCACACGCUGAAUGAUAUAUCAUCUGCAUAUGCGUACGCGGGACGUACCCUUUUUUGCAUACGCGCCCGAAAGAUCGCGGGUAUAAUAUUAUAUAUCAUAUAUAUUAUAUUGUUACCGAAGCGAUGGCAGAACCCUUUCCAUUGAUACGGUAUUGAAUAUUACAGAUACGGAGAGGAACCUCUUCGUGCGCGCCUAUAUGCAUAUUAUACAUUAUAAUAUUAUUGUAAUAUGCAGAUCGAUAGGUUCCCACGACCGCGACGCGACGAAGAUUUUGCAGGCAUCUAUACAAUUAUAUUACACUGCGUAUAUUUAUAUAUAUAUAUAGGUAUAUAGGUACAUCCGCGUGCGCGAGAAUAUAAGUCGCAACGGAUGCGCGUAACUAUAUACCUGCUUGCAUAAUAAUAAUAUAUGUUAUAAUAAUGCGUUUACUAUGUUUGUAUUAUGUACUGAUCGAACGGCAACGACGUUUCCGGACCGAUUGGCAAAACCGGUAAAAACGAAUAAAACGAAUUCGCAAACGGUUUUUUAAAUUUUUUACCGUCUUAAAACCGUCAUCCGCGCUUUUGCUCUCUGUGCGUCUUUUUUGUCUAGCGGAAUUCGUUUGUUUUGCGUCCCAAGUCGCUUUUAGCACGAAUUUCGUUAUAACGGGAAUCAUCAGACGUGUAGUUCAGUAUACAAUAGACAGUAAGAUAUUUUUCGGUCUUAAAAUCGAUCCUCAUCCCUUUAUUAUGUAGCUCAUUACUGUUAUAAGCUCCUUAUUCUUUCAAUAUAGCAAUUAU